AGAGUUUGAUCCUGGCUCAGAACUAACGCUGGCGGCGUGGCUAAGACAUGCAAGUCGAACGGAAUAUAUGAAUGAGUAAUCAUGAUUAUAUUUAGUGGCGAAAGGGCGAGGAAUAAAUAGGUAACGUACCCCAAACAUCGGAAUAGCGUCUGGAUGCUUGCAUCCUUCCGAAAGGGGCAGUAAUACCGAAUAAUAUCUUUUGGCGCAAGUCGAAUGAUCAAAGAUUUAUCGGUUUGGGAGCGGCCUAUUUCCCAUCAGCUUGUUGGUAAGGUAAUGGCUUACCAAGGCUACGACGGGUAUCGGGACUGAGAGGUUGACCCGACGCAUCGGAACUGAGACACUGUCCGGACCUCCACGGAGGGCUGCAGUAACGAAUAUUGCACAAUGGGCGAAAGCCUGAUGCAGCAACGCCGCGUGUAGGAUGAAGCUCCUCGGAGUGUAAACUACUGUCAGGGAUUAGAAAGUGCGCUUAGGCGCAUUGAUCAGUCCCAGAGGAAGUCACGGCUAACUUCGUGCCAGCAGCCGCGGUAAUACGAAGGUGGCGAGCGUUGUUCGGAAUUAUUGGGCUUAAAGAGCACGUAGGCGGACCAGAAAGUGUCUUGUGAAAACCCCCGGCUUAACCGGGGAAUUGCUUGGCAAACUUCUAGGUCUUGAGUCAAGUAGGGGUACAUGGAACUCUUAGUGGAGCGGUGGAAUGCGUAGAUAUUAAGAGGAACGCCAAUGGUGAAGACAGUGUACUGGGCUUGUACUGACGCUGAGGUGCGAAAGCGUGGGGAGCGAACGGGAUUAGAUACCCCGGUAGUCCACGCCGUAAACGAUGUCUACUAGGUUGUGGGUGUUCUGACACAGUCACAGCCGAAGCAAAAGUGUUAAGUAGACCGCCUGGGGAGUACGGUCGCAAGGCUAAAACUCAAAGGAAUUGACGGGGGCUCACACAAGCGGUGGAGCAUGUGGAUUAAUUCGAAGCAACGCGCAGAACCUUACCUGGGUUUGACAUGUAUGGAUGCCUAUCUGGAAACAGAGUCGGCUACCUUUACGGGUGAAACUUACACAGGUGCUGCAUGGCUGUCGUCAGCUCGUGUCGUGAGAUGUCGGGUUAAGUCCUUUAACGAGCGAAACCCUUACCGUUAGUUGCCAGCGCGUCAUGGCGGGGACUCUAGCGGGACUGCCGGUGUCAAACCGGAGGAAGGCGGGGAUGACGUCAAGUCCUCAUGGCCUUUAUGCCCAGGGCUUCACACGUGCUACAAUGGUCACUACAAAGCGACGCGAGACCGCGAGGUGGAGCAAAUCGCAAAAAAGUGGCCCCAGUUCGGAUUGCAGGCUGUCAACUCGCCUGCAUGAAGUUGGAAUCGCUAGUAAUCGCGUAUCAGCUAUGACGCGGUGAAUGUGUUCCUGAGCCUUGUACACACCGCCCGUCAAGUGAUGGAAGUCGGGAGCACCCGAAGUCGGAUUGCUAACCAGUUUACUGGAGGCGUCUGCCGACGGUGAGUUCGAUGACUGGCACUAAGUCGUAACAAGGUAACC
rnacentral:rRNA from 1 species